rnacentral:rRNA from 1 species
UACGGAGGGUGCAAGCGUUGUCCGGAAUCACUGGGCGUAAAGGGCGCGUAGGCGGCUCAUGAAGGCUGUGGUGAAAGUCCGGGGCUCAACCUCGGAUCGGCCGUGGCGACUCGUGGGCUGGAGCACUGUAGAGGCGGGUGGAAUUCCGGGUGUAGCGGUGGAAUGCGUAGAGAUCAGGAAGAACACCGGUGGCGAAGGCGGUCUGCUGGGGUGAGGCUGACGCUGAGGCGCGACAGCGUGGGGAGCGAACAGG